UAUAUUGAAACAAAAGAUCGGGUAAAGUGUUUGAUUUGUCUUUAGGCUACGUUUUCAAGGCUAAUCUAAUUCAUAGCUGUUAGAUUUCUUUAAAGAUAUUAACACAAACUUCCAGCAGAAUCAUGGGGUUGACUCCAGAAUUACCCUAAAUGAUAAUUGUUUACCGGAACGUUUACAUUCGGCUGCUUGGAUUCGUAUUAUUUGCGUUGUUCUCCUUUGCGACUCAGACAGGAGAGAUGGAAACGAAGGGCAACUUUCCUAAUUGUUGUAGCGAUUGUCAGGGCGGCCGCGCAGACUUUGCAGGGGAGGCGGCGGAGCGGGCCCUUUGUGUGCGGGGCCGGCCCCGGUCAGCACCGGGCGGGUGGACAGCUCCGGCCCGCGGAUGAGAACUCGCCUUCGCUCGCCCUGGUAGUCCUUCUCCCCGCUGGUAACGGACUCGUCAGGGAGUGGAAAAGAGCAUCCCGACGGGCGCACUUUGUCUCCCCGUCGGUGUGUGUAGACGCGGCUGCCGUAGGCAUCUGUGGCUUGUGUACAUACAUGGCUUUAAUAAUUACACAUAAGGCUUUAUAACCUCAUAAUUCAGGAAAGACUAGAAAACGCGACCAAAUUGGAGUGUUGGCAGCAGGGGUGAUUGCAGGUCUGGAUGCAUACUUCGUCUCUUCCCAACUCGCCGCCCCCUUCCUCCCCCCCCCCCCCCCCCAAAUCAUAUUUAUCUGAGAUUAUGUCAAAUUUCAGUGAUCGGAAAUGUCUUGCCCAAGCCCCAUUCCCUCUGGAAAAAGUCAAAAGGGUUCCUGGCAUUAACACGACCUUGCAUCAUUCCUGAUGAAAUUAGCAGAGCUACUUGUUUAGAGCUUUGCUAAGGAUGCACUUUGGUGACAGUAAGAAGUAAGAAAUUUGGGGUUUAACCCCACAUCUGAGCAGGAUCCGUCUGCUUUCACUAGCUGCAAAGCCUGAGACCAGCACUUGAAAGCGCCUUAGACCCGCAGUCCAUUUUUCACUUGUCUUUAAGUGCAAGCGAUGGGAAUUGCUAACCUCGGCUAAGAAAAUUUCAUUUUCCCCAUCCUGCUAAACGGUUCUGGUCGACAUAUGUUUGUUAUCAGAGAGAGGUGCUAUGAACACAGAGCCAUUUUCUUAGCAGCUCUUUGACUCUGUGUUACCAUAGUCCCACACGGCAUUGGUCCUUUCCCGUUGGGAAGUCAUGAAUAAGAGACUAUGAAGCUUGCACGUCAGAUCUUCCUCAAUUAAUCCACCAUUAGCAUGUUCGGGAUCCUCUACUGGAUGGUUAACAGCAGCUUUGGUAACUGUAUGCUGUCCAUACCCAAUUAUGCUCUGCUAAAAAUGAACUCUGCAGAAGAACCUUCCUGAGCUGUCAGUGUCUCCCGUUUUCCUAUUUUAACGCUUGUGUGUAGUGGCAGGCGACAGAUGGUGUAGAUCAGAUCGAUUUGAUUGCAUUAGGCGAUUUUUUUUUCCUCCUCUCCCCCCCGACUCCUUUUCUGGAAGCCCACAUUCAUCUGAGAGGCGAUCGCCGGGGACAUGGGAAGCAAGAGCAGCCGCCGAUGUGUGAAAGCAACGAGACAUGGCCAGCCAGAGGCGCCGGGGUCCCUUCACGGGGUUUGUUAACAUGGUAAUCCGGCACCAGGAGAGAAAGCUGCUUUCUGCUGCCUAGAGCCCAUUCCCCAUCACACAUCAGAUGACUCCCUGGCUUUACACAGUUGGAGUUCUGCUCGAAACCUGGAUUUAAAGGGAAUCUGUUGCUGCGUAUGACAUCUCUUGCAAGCUCCCAGAGAGAAUUGAUGGAGCAUACAGCUAGGGAAUAGGAUACCAGAGAAGCACAGAGGAGGAAUCCAGGCAAUCACCAGGAUGGGAAGGUUCAGCGUCCACUGGAUAUGGGACAAGAUCGCUUGGCAACCUUUGUGGAUUCUCCUUCUUCUGGAGGCGAAUUUUAGUUAUGGAUUUAUUGUCCCGGUGCAACACUUCCACCAGCAGCAGCAACAGCAGCAGCUUUCUGACUCUCUUCGGUGACGGGUAUUCUUGGGUGGAUAAUACGGAUUACGUUGUUAUUGCUUAAGAAUACGCGUAGUCGAGGAGAGUACCGGCGGCGGGCAGGCAGGCAGGCAGCGCGACCGCCCCCAGCCCACCAGCUGGCUCCUCACCUCCUCUAGUUGCCAAGGUAGCACCUUUUCCAUCUUUUCCUACGCUUUGCAAUGUUUCAUUCUGUGUCUCUGCCCGGGCGGGGGGAGCUCGAACGCCCUGUCUCUUGCGGAGGGGGUGCCCGGUGUGUGUGUGUGCGUGGGAGCAGCUCCGGGGCUGGGCCAGCUCCUCGGCGGAGCGUGGCCGGGAGCCGCGGCCGCUGCGGGCUGCGCCUUCGCGGGCAGCGCUCUCCAGGCUGCUCCGGGGCCGCGGAAAGGCUCUCGCCCUGUCCGGGCAGCCCCGGUGCCCCGCACUCGGUCGGCAGCCCCCAGCCCGCUCCGACCGCGGCCCCUCGCCCCUCUCCGGCUUGGGGCGCGGAUGGGGGAGCCGAGGCGGCCGGCCUCGCCUGCCAGGGGUGCCUCGCACCGGGACACGCUGUGCCCGCAGGGCCGCGGCGGCCCCGGCCCCGUCCGCGCCCCCGGCAGAGCCCUCACGGCCCCGCCGCAGCCGAGUGUGCGGGGCUGGGGCUGCCGCGGGCCGGGAGUAGCCCGUGCUGGCGGGGCCAGGGACCGCCAGCCCGGCCGCAGAGCGCCCGGCGCCCGGGGAAGCCUCUGCCCCGGCUGCCGAGGGGCUCGGCCGGCCAGCGGGGCCGCUCCGGGGAUGCGGUUUGAGGCCGCUGGCUUUCCAUGGAAGCAAUGCCCCUGUUGCUCUUUUAUCCUCACCCUGCAGCCUGGUGAGGGCAGGAUUAAGAAUCCACCUUCACACCAGCUCUAGCUCAGAGGUUUAUCAGCUUCUGAGGCCUCAGAUUGAGACACAAGUUUAGGGCCAGAACUGAGGGGUUUUUUCCCUUCUGCAGUUCAGGUGGUGGCUUAUUUGUGCCCUUUUCAAAAGCUCAGGACUCCCCAAAUUCUACUUGCAGCUGGACGGGUGGAAGACACAACUAAGGGAGUGUUGAUUCCUAUAACUGGCCAAGACGUGCCCCAUUGCUUUAACACAGAAAAAGUGCAUCUCUUCUUCUCUCCAGUCUCAGCAGCAGGGUACAGGAUUUGGUAAUUCAAAUGAUCAGUCUUUCAGAUGUUGUGCUUAGGAAAAUCCAGGCAUAGCAUUUAUAGUUCUGGUCUUUUUUCCCCUGCUCCUCUGCCCACCAGCCUGGCAGAGAAAAGGAGCAGGGUGUGAUCAUGCCAGUGUUUUGCCAUUCAAGGCCUCUCCACAUGCCCCUAUGAUCCCAGGUCUUGUUGCCAUGUAGUCACAAUUGUGAGACCACAUUUCAGCCUUAAGUGAAUUAGAUCAGAAGCCAUUUUAAAGCAAGACCAGGAGUCCUGUGAUAAGACAGCCUUUUUGAAUGCAUCCUUCCCCAACCUCAGCUAUGAUGGGGCUAGGAAUGAUUUUUAAUGUGGAAAAGCCAGACGUGGGGUGAUCGUUGAGAGCGCGAGGUGGGCUGAUGGAGAAUGUCUUUCUCUCUGUCUCUUGCUUAGAGAUUUAAAGGCUGUCAAUGUUCUACUUAAUAAUUUCCAACAACUGCCAAAGCAAUCUUAGUCUGUUGCCUUUAGUAGUGAGUGGAGUGCUCGUUGUAACACAGACGUGUGGAUCUGUUAUUCUUUAGACACAUCUUUGAUGCUAGCACUCUGAUCCUUGUGUUUCUCUAAUACCACUUGAAAGCAGAUUUUUUUCCUUGUAGUUUAGUAUGUUCAACAGCCUUAGAAAUAAUGUUAAAUUAUGCUUUAAAAAGACAUGAUCAGCUGCUAAAUCACAGUCAGUUCAGCACCGUAACACAGCCACGUUCACGAGUGCUGCAGGAACAGCGGUGGAAACACUAUUUUAAAAUCCAGGUUUGUAUUACAAACCUUCCUCUGGUCAGAGCUUUUAGUUUACGUUUUCCAUUGAGUCAUGACUUAGAAUAUUAUUAAGAGUUCCCAUUUCAUUGCAUAAAGGGCGUGGAUUUGUUUGCUCUUUGCUUGGUUGAGUACCUUGUGUAGUAUGUAUUGGACUGGUACCCAUAAAUACAAGCUUAGCAAAUGGUUCUUUAUACUUGGUUUCUUCUAGUUGCUUUCUGUAAAGCAUGAUGAGAUGGUUUUGCUGAAUAAUGCCUUAAUGACAGGGCUAAUGCAUUUUUAAUGCAUGUACUCUUUGUCAUUGUCAAAAUUAACAUUUUGAUGAUUGUAGAUUUCUCUUCUCUAAAAUCUUUUGGGAAUUGCUAUGCUAUGUGGGUUAAAAGAGUGAAAGUGUAGGAUCUGAUUGGAGAAAUACUGGAUAUGCUUGCCAAAAUGACUCUAGAAUAUUAUGUAAAUAUUCAGUGUGGACUCUUGGAUGAUGUUUCUCAGUAGCAUGACCUCAGAGGGACUCCCCCCAUUUAUUAGAAGUUCCAGGGGUCUGUCACAUAUAUAUAUUGAAGGACAGAAGGGGUCAUUUCUGAGCAACAGACGCCUAAGUAGUGACUAUUCAUACUAUGGGUCUGAUCCUGGCAAUGCACGUAGCUUCCACGGGACUGCUCAAGAAAGCAAGUCUGCUCACGUUAAAUGCAAAAUAUUUAGGGCCAAAUCCUACUAUCCAGUGCAAUAGCAAAGUCCCAAUUGAUUUCACUAUGGGAAAGAUUAGACCCCUAGUGAAAGGGAAUUUUUUAAAAUGCUACACUUCCUACUUUGCUUUAGAAAUUGCAAAUCCUCUGCGCUAAAAAAAACAACUCUAAAACCUCUCUGCCUCUAGUAGUUUAAUGAUAUUUCAUUAACGGCAAAAAUUACUCUAAAAGUUUAUAGUGGAACAUAGUAAGAAAUUGCUUUAUAAAUAAGGGGGUUUAAUUGUACCAGUAUGAGCAUUUGCUAGGACAUUUUAGAAUGAGGUUUGUGGCAGCACCAACUGUGCAUUAACAGCUAUUUUGGUGAGGGCAUAUUUAAUUAAUUCAGAAUGCUAAGUUUCUGUUUUAAAAUGGGUUUUGUAAUCUGCAUCCUGGUAGAAAAUUAAAUUAAAAAAUUACCCCAAAAAUAAUUACUUGGACUUAGCCUUGUCUUUAAAGGCCAUAAUCCCAUGAAGAUUUAUAUCUCUGGGUAGUUUUCUCUGCUGGGUAGCCUGGGAGCUGCUGCCAUGGGUAAGUCUUUGUCGCGCCAGGCCCCCCGAGCGGCGCAGGCGGGUGCUGGCAGAGCAGACGCUGGUGUGGCAGCGCAGGUGACACUGUGACACUGGCUGUCCCCCACCCUGCCCGGGCCUUUCCCGAUCUGCCCAAGGGCUGCGUCCCUGGGCACAACGGGCACGUCAUGCCCCAUGGUGGGAGUGGGAGUACAAGGAGGAGUUUUGGUCCCUGCUGUCCUGUGCGGGCAGGGUCACAGCGCUCCUGGGUCUGCCCAUAGUGUGGAGCAUUUCUCUGCUGUGCAGUACCCUAAAUUAAGUGGCAGGGACUGCCAUUGGACUUCAGGUGCUCUUUCCAGAAAUAAAUAAAACUACAGCCCUUACAUAUGCAUAUAUCCCUGAAUAGAAUAAAUAUACAUACACACACACAGGCACCCCUCUGAAGGGAGGCUAGAGCACAGCAGAGACGCCCCAUUCUCCCAGAUCUGACAGAGGCACAACACCCACUCACCUCAGCAGGGGCUGUGCUGUUGCAGUGCGUAUUUAUGACCUGUGUUAUGAUUCCUCUUGCUGCUGCAAAUUUGCCUAAAAUAAAUGCCCACAGUAUUGUAUGUAGAUGUGUACAGUUAUGCAGAUGUUUUUACUUUCUGCUUUUAAGACUACGUAUGAUUUGGAGGGGAGUGUAAGUUUUCUUCCCACGACAAGUUAUUGUCUUUCAUGUCAGUUUAGGUGGCUUCUAGUGUUUGUAUGGUUUUUGUGAGGAAGCUGAAAGCAGUAAUAUCUGUACAUCCACACAGGUCCACACAUACUUUGCAGCUGUAAGAAUAAGCCAACUAGCCUUUUUCUCUGCCUUUUUACAUCACACUAGCCAUAAUAUACACAACAAAUUUUUAUGCAUUUUUUAAAAAUAGACUACGUCUUUACGUACACAAAAGGCUUUUUCUUCUCUUCCUUUUAAUAGAUUACUAUUUUUCUGAAAAGCAUCGCCCCCAGGUAUUACCCAUAGUUGUUAUGACACCUCACCAUUUAGUGUUGUAAUGGUAAAUCAUAACACUUAUUAUUAAGAGCCAUAAAUUUUUACCAGAAUCAUCAUCUACCUCCUGAAAGCUUUAAUGGUAGAAACAUUUCCUUGGCUAACGCCCAUGAUGAUUACAUGCUUUUUAUUGCUAUCAUUUAGUAACCAAAUUGCUCAAAAAUCAAAGGACUUGAUUAUCCCAUACCUGCAAUGCAUAGAGCUAUUUAUAAAUGUUGGCUCGAUAAUAACAAUGACUCAAAAGAAAUUUAAAUGACAGGCCAAAAAUAAGUAGUCUAAAAGUGAAAAAACAAGCCAGAAUUCAUAGAGGUGGUGGAAAGAGUCUGACUGCAAAGGACAGAAAGGAUCCUGAGGAAGGUAAAAAGAAGAGUCUAGGAGGUGCUGGUAGAAGGUAGAUGUGACCCAGCUUUUUCAGAGUCAGAGGGCAGAGGAGAGGUGAGGCACCAGGGACUGUAGGUGAGGAGGCAUCACAGUGUGGCGCUGGAAGUAUGUGCCAGAAGUGUUGAAACCAGGGCUGGAACAUCACACAAGUUUGGUAGUUUGCUUCCUGGAAAAACAGUAUCUAAUUAUAAGCAGCCAACGAAAAAUUAGGUGAAAUGUUCCAGAAACUAGAGCGGGUUUAUUGAUGGGAAAAAUAAGAGCCUUGAAUAUAUACCUGAAAGGUGGUUUAUAUAUAUUUAUAUACACACACACACACAUAUAUAUAUAUGACUGUAUAUAUCUAGCCAAAAUUACAUAGUAAUGCCCAUAUAGAUAAAUGAAAUGAGUAUCCUGCUUUUGAAAUCGUUCUCCUGCAGAAACCAGCAGGAAAGCAGUGUAGCCUGGUGUGUGCAAAUAGACCUAGAAGCUAUGUACAGAGAAAAUGCAGCACGGCUAUCAAGAAACAUUUCCUUUCAGUGAGCCCCUCUAGCCAGUGGGGAUGAUAUAAAGCAACAGAACAAUCUCCAGGCAGGAAAGCCCUUGCCUGGGAGAUGCAAAAUAAACUUGGCCAAGACACAGCAAGCAGCAGUCACCCUAGGAGAGCUGGAGAGCCAUCUGGGGAGGCCUUCUUGCCUCUGACUGCUGCAACACAGCUCCAUGGAGCUGAAAUGGCUCCGAUAAUUUCUUAGCGCUUCACACCACCAGAAAGAAAGGGCUAGGCCCACAAGAGGUAACUUACACUUUCCAAACUACUCAAGAGUAUUUCAGAUUAAGUAGAUCUUUUAUCUGUUUUGGGGUCAGUUGUCUGUAUCAGCUCAUCUGAGUGUUGUUCUGUAUCAGCUCAUCUGAGUUGCACGCAAUGUACGCCCCUUUCACGUUAUUGCACGAGGCAUGAAAUGUUGGAAAAACAUAGCUGACUUUAAUAUUAAUGGCUGAUUCAUAACCUUGUUUGUAAUAUUAGCGGUUCCUUUACUAAAUCAGGACAAUACCAAAAAGUUUAUUAAUGAUCACAGGUCAUACCAAUCUUAUAAAUCAUUGGAAAUCAAAGAUAAAGUGAUCAACAUGGGGCUGGUCUUUUCUAAUUGGAGAAAGAGGAACAUUCUGAACCAGAACAGUACAGCAUGCAAUUGUGCAGCCUGUUACCAGAAAAAGAACCAUCUCACUGCAUCUUACAGAGGCAUUUACACAGAUAAUGUAGACUUCAUAUGACUACUUUUAGAUUAUCUGAUAGUAAUAGCUGUGGAAAUACUCACAUUCUCCUAAAAGACGCUGAUAAAAAAAUCAAAUAAAAAAGGCAUCACUAAUUACUACAUUAUUAAGGAUUCAUUUUAUUUCUUCAAUUUAGGUGAAAAAUAGUAAGAGCAGGGAGGCUUGAUGCUUCCCACCAUCUGGAAACUCUUCCUUUAACAAUCAUUCUUCAGGAGAUAAUUUACCUGGUUGCUCCAAGAAAAUAUAUUUCAUAUUAUCUCUUCUUCAAUUUGCCAUGAUACAUUCUUCUGUUUUACUGUUUAUUGCUUGCUGUGUUACUGGAGCAACACUUAUUACAGUGUCAAUGCUCUAGUUGUUAAAAAUGACCACUAUGGUAAAAACUGUUUCUUGUUCCCCUGCCUUCCUCUGCUGCCUUGCUGUCUCCCUUCCUGUUUACAAUAUAUGCAAAAGAUUUGAGGGGAUGGAAGGGAUUUUCUUUCUCAACAUGUUUUAUUUUAGAAAUCUCAGAAUAAUUUAAUUUCCUAAUUUUUUUUAUGAAGGUCUUGAACUGUAGAGGAGAGCAGUGGAAACUUUCUCAGACCUCAGCUUAAGUGGUGGUGAUUUUUCCAUUUUUAAGGAGACCUUUUUCCUCACAUGUUUGCCAGGGUCUGAGUUACGCAGAACAUAAUAACAUAAUUACCUUCAAUGUUUCAGACAAUCCUUUCUGUUUUUACUUCUCAUUGUUCUUUGUUGUGUUAUGGCAUCAUGUGGAUGUCCCAUCAUGUGUCAGAUGUGAUAAUAUAAAUCCAUUUGCCUUCAGUUGUUCAAAGAACCCCUUGAUGAAAACUACAUUUCUGAGUCCUGCUCUAGGAAGCAAGAGCCAAACCCACUCCCUUUUGCUCUUCUUGUUAAGAUGCUUGUCAUUUCUGUCUAUUUAAAUUCUUACCAGCAAAGAAGGCAGGACCAGUCUAGACCUUUGGUUAGAGAUGAACAUAGACAUGUUUAGUUUUCUUUUUCUGGAGCUGCAGUGAGGCGGUGCUGCUCACUCUGCUCCAGCCACCCUGGUAGAGAGGGAGGAAAAACUCGAGCGAGGGAAAGGAUGCUGAAUGGGCGUGAUGAGAAAUCUAAGGAAAACAAAUCAAAUAAAUACUUAGCUAGGCUUUUCAGGUUUUAGUCUUUAUCAAAUGCAACUCUCUUUUAAGUAGUCCACAUUUCUUGAAUGCAAAACUUAAACGUGUGCCGUGUAGAGACGCUCAGAACAAUAGCUCUGCUUUCUCCAAUAAAAUCUCUGUUCUGAGAUUAACUCUGGAGCUAGCAGUGAGGUCAGUGUUUCAUUUCAUAUAAGUCAGCUCAUGCUGACAAGGGUCUGGCCUUCUUAGUGAUGGGCCGUUUGCUGCUCAGAAGUGUGAGGAAUGGCUUUCUGAAAUAUCGAUAGCUCGCCUUCACUAGAGUUCAUGAUCAAAUUUAGCUGGCAAGUAUCAAUGUGCUACAGCCAGACUGCAGGGCUGAGAUGCUCAGGCUUGGGCCAGCUGCUAAGGUCUGCUUCCUAAAUCAGAGGCUAACUCUUCCAUUAGUGUAAAUCAGUGGUUUAUAAUGAUGUCAAAUGAGAUUUGUGUCAGAGUGGCCCAGACUACACCCGGUCUUGGGAUUUGAAAAGGAAUAGAAAAAUUAGGCUGCAACCAUUAGAAUUAUUUUUUCGUUUGGUUUUGUUGUGCAUAUUUGUAAAUGUGCCGAUACACACAUGCAUUUUGUUCCCAUGGACUUGUGCCCAUGUGGCUGCCAUUUAACAUGGACCUAAGAGCACAGAAUCUUCCUGGUGUGGUUUGAUUGACAUGUGCAGAGAUCUCACAUAAAGGCACUGGGAUCCCGCUUUUCAUCCAUAAAAGGAAAGCAGGCAGGCUUCAUCCCUGGCUAAACCCUUUGCACAAUAUACAUCAAUAAUGAGGCAGCAUCUAUUUAUACAUUGCUCACUGGAAAUGACUGAAUCCAGACAGAAGUUGGUGAGGCAGCCUGAGCUCCACCAGCCUCCAUGGAGUCUAUUGUUAGUAUCCAGGAUGACUCCUCAGGCAAAUGGAGAAGAGCGGCACGAUUUGGAGCCUACCAUGCCAUGGGAGGAAUACCAGCUUCCACACUUGGCAGGUGGUGUCUCCUCUCAGAGAAUGCUUUCUCUGGCUCUGCCAGAACCCGGCAGUCAUGGAGGAGGAAUGCAGGAGAAAUGGCCACAAGAGCACAGCCCUGCUGCUGCUCCCAAAGAAGUGGAAUGCUGAUGGGUUUACCCUCAGGGUGAGAGAUCCCUGCCUUUCUUCAUGAGAAAAGGAGAUGUCCAAGAGGAAACAGGAGGACGGCAGUUCUACCUUCAUACACACUGACAACACAUAUUGUUGCAGAAGGUUUUUAACAGUAUUUCUUUAUCUAGAAAAAGAAGGAUGCAGUAAAAAAAGCCCACUCAGCGUUAUGGCAUUGGUUAGGUACGUCGGUGUGCUGAUUGUCCACCAACACGUGUCUGUGAUGAUGAAAACUGGCUUGUCUGUGAGAUAUUCAUCAUUAAUAAGGUACUCAGAACUCCUUAGCAGAGCACAAUCCAGACUGUGCUUUUGCUCCAUAUCCUUCUUCACUCCUGCUUUCCUCUGUGGCUCUUGUGUACUUUGCCCAUAUGCUCUAAAGCUAUUUUGUUUUCAGUUUUAUGUAUGUUUUAUGUAAAUUAGAAGAAUCAAGCUCCUCUGCUUGCUAAAUUAUAAAUUGAGUGGAAAUUGGCCGACUCUCUUUAGACUGUGUAAGUUAUACAAGAUGUAAGUAAUCAAGCUCAGCAGGCUGGGCUGGGGAGGGAAAACACGUCAAUAGCGUGGGCCACGUGAGCUGUGUCCAUGUGUCUCCGUGCACUGCUGCUUGCCUUUGCAGCCUCAAAUAUCUCUUUGCUCUAAAGUGCCAAUCCAACUCCUUUUAGACCGUCCUUAAGAUGCAGGUUUAUUGCCUCCUUUGGUAGUUUGCUCGGUAUAUUCAGUACGCCUUGUAUAAAUGAACUGCUCUUAAAUGCCUGUUUCCACUCUCUUGCUUUAGGAUCAGAGUAGAUUCAGACUGCCUCCUCUGGGAGCAGUGAUUCAUUUUCCUUCCCUUCUUCCCCUGUAAGUUAAAAUGCCUGUUGAUUUUAGUGUCUGUCUCCUUGGCUUACUCCCUGCUUUGGCUCUAUUUCCCCUACCCCACACUGCUUUUCAUAUGCCUGAAUCUUGCCCCGGGCUAUCUUUUCCCUAGUAGCCCACUGCAACCUCACAGAGUAGGACUGUGGUGCAAGAGCAGGAGCCUGGCAGUGGCUGACAGCCUGUGAAACACUGCCAGGAGAGCAAGGAAAUUGGUUUGGGUCUUGGUGAGAUGGUGGAGAAUCUGCUGCAGGGCAGAAAAGUCAGUCUCACUGCAGUCUGUUAGGGCAGCAGUUAGACCAAGCUUUUAGAAAAAGAGGUCUAAAAUCAGACACCUAGGCCUAACUUUACACAGGCAGUAGGACCAGUGUUAUUAUAAGCAGAUAUAAGUACCCCUAUGAGACGAGACUGGCUGCAGUCUCAGCACAGCCUGGCGUUGGCUGCACCAGCAUCCACAAGCUGCCAGAGUGACCAGAGCAGCCUCGUGCUGUGGCCAGCAGCCCAUCCACCCCAGCAGCACCAAGAUGCAUCUGGGCAGAGCUCGGGGUAGCUCUGCUCUCUGUCUUUGAGCUCCAUGCCAGGCAGCAAACAGAGAAAAACAUCUUCAGAGAGGCAGUGUGGUGCAGUUCUUAUCAAUUGACCAACAUUUUAAAGCCAGCAUCAUGGAGAUUGAAUCUCAUUGCCAUGGAAAAUCCAGGUUAGAAAUUUAUUGCUGGGAGGGGAGGGGGGAAUUGUGGGCUUUGGGUGGGCUCUGCAGGCAUGGCCCUGGGCACAGACCUUUAGUGGGCAGCCUGUUCCCAGGUACUGCACAGCCCUGUGUGCUCUGCUGACUCUGGCAGGGUUGAAGCAUGUGCUCAAUGAAAAGGGAUCCCAAGUGAGUAGUCAGAUGGCCUUCAGGAAUCUCAGGCUAGGACUCACAGGGCUCAAAGGAGAUCCUCUCUGCUCAGGCUGUGCCCUGCAGUUAUUUGAGUCUGGGCUCUCUUUCACUGAGUUCAUAAAAUACACGCUUUUUCUUUUAAUUCACUAAAUAAUUUGAUUCAGUGAUAUACCUUCAGAAUGUGGUUUAUUCUGUGCAGUCAAAUGUUUACUGAGGAUGAUAAAAUAUAUCCAACCUGCCUUUUUAAAGCUGCGUCUUUUACUUGAAAGGGAAGGCAUAACCUUUUGUUUCCUUGUGUGAUUUUUACUGAACCUCUGCCUACUUUAUCAGGCCACAUAUAAAUUUAUUACCACUUGUGUUUCCAAAUAAAGACUCGUAGGUUGGUAAGUAGUCUAUAAGUCGAGCUGCUAUUCCUUGAAACUCAUAAAAGGAUAAUUUUGACCCAUGGAAUCACUAAUUAAAGCUGCUUUUCAAUACCCAAAAAUUAAGUUAACAAUAAUUAAUGUAGCCAGCCUGGAACCUUAGGAAACUACUGCCAGCAAGUGUCUUUUGGUGCACUCAAGAGGAUGCAGUUUGAUUGUUGGCACCAACAGACAGGUUGGGAAUUGUAAACAUGGUAAUUAGCAGUAAGUUUCUGGAUCUCAACUUGCCAGACUGGCAGUCUGAUUCUUGGAGUAGUUGUCACAUGGGAGGAGGGAAAAACAAAGUAAGGGAAUUAGAGCAACCUUGCAUUGCUCCACCAACAUAUGCCACUGGACCAAUGUUUUUCUUGGCAAAGAUCUCUGACAAGGCGCUUAAAAGCAGCAUUGCAGCCCUACUGCAAACUGUGAACCUCACUGCAGGCAUCAACCAAGCAACUGUCUCUGGCUCUUCUGUUUAAACUACCAGUGUUGCUCCAUGGUAAGGAAUUUCAGAGUCUGAGAUCUUUCCACUCCACCUCUGUGGUGGAGCACAUUGUUGAUAAGGUUAUCAACAAUAAUGGGAUUAAAAGAGUUAAAAUCCAGCUUUUGCGGUAAUCCCGGAGUAUUCUAUUGUUGAGCUAUCAAAGAUUAAGGUUAUAGUAACCUUAUUAAUCCUUGGUGUAGUGUAAAUAAAAAGGAAAUGUCAGCCUUAAUUCCACCAUGAAAUUAAAUCUUCACUUCUCUAAACGAUGAUUCAAAUGCAGCUAGCUGCAGCCAAUGUGGUUUAUGAAAAUGCGUAACCCAUGUGAGUUUAAGAAAUCCAAUCUGAGAGACAGAGAGAAAGAGGUGAUAAAACAUGGCACUUGUUUUGUUUAAAAUGAAAAAAAAAAAACCCCAAAAAAAAGUAUUCAUUCAGCUUGUAUGUCUGCAGAAAUUAUACCUAGGGCCAAAAAAGUAUGUAAAGCAUUAGGAAGGGACUGAAUGCUCAAGGUGUACAUCCCUGUGAGGCAGUGAAUGCAGCUGCCAGCCCACAGCAGAACAGCCAUCCCUGUGCCAGAGAGCAGCCACAGCACUGCUGCUGCUGCCCCUGUCCCCUGCUUGCAGGACACUGUGCUGCCUCAGUAGCAGGGACAGGGUGCCCUGACACAAGAGCUUAACCCAGCGUUGAUCCACUUGUGCUUUCAGUGCCAGAGACAACAUGAUGAAAACCAAAAAAUGUCAGAAAUGAAAUGGUUGCUGAACCGUCUGCAAACAGCAAGCCUUCACAGGUGCUGGUGUGAAGGGCACACCUUUUCCUGGCUAAGGUGAUUUCCAGAGGAGUGGGAGUUGCCUUUUUUAGCAAUGGAUGUUUUUUCACGUGUGCUGGGCACAGCCCCUGCUCAUCCUGCCCACACAGGUUGAACCUACAAGUAGGUCUGAAACUGCCCUCUGGGACUAACUACCUGAAGAGAGGGAAAGACAGACAGACUGAGCUUUGCUUAGAAGUCAAUGGGAUCUGGUCCAGGUAGAUCUGUGUUUCUUUGUGGGGAGUGGGUGGGGAAUUACAGUAAGCAGAAGUGGGCUGAGUACCCUUUAUUAUGCUUUUUUUGACUUGGAGAAAAAAUAAAGUAGUGGUAAAAUGGGGUGAUUCAGAAUGAUUCUGCAUAUUAAGUAUCUCAAUCACUCACUCCAAGUCUAGGAGAGUGGUAGUUAAGUAUCAAGGAGCUGCCUAUAGCAGGAACUGAGCUCUCUGGAGGGCAAGAGGCAUUGCCAGAGAAUAAGAUUCCCUGGAGCUGUUCCCAGGGAAAGGGGCUUUGUCACCUCAGCAAAACCCAUCUGCCCCAUGGUUUCUGCGUGUUCUGGAAAUUGCUGGGUUUGUGGACUGAUAGAGCUGGAGAGUGGGCAUGUUCUGCAUCUUUGUAUUGUUUGCUCCGGUUCAUAUAGACUCUGAUAAAGUUGCAUAAUGAAACUCAGGCUCAUAAAAGAACUCAUUUUAAGAUGGGUUUUUUCCUUCUCCACUCAGUGAAUCACGCUCUUCUCUGGUGUGAAUUGUCACAGCUCCAGAGCGUGGACCGGUUCAGAUGUGCCCGCUGGGUCCUGGGCUGUCUCCAGCCCCUCUGCAGCUGCAAUUGCUGCCACGAACACAAAUUGGCUCACUCUGGCUCUUCUUGUCUUUCCACAGUGUAGGAACAGAUAAUGGGCCCAUGGGGUUGUUCAGAAAUAUUGCUGGUUUCCAGUGCUAGCAUAAUGGUCCCUUCUAGGUAGUAUCCCUUUCCUGGACAAUUUCCCAGUAAAAUAGUAAAUGGCAACUGCAGAGCAGUAAAGGCAAUGGCAUAUUUGUUUGACUGACAUUUCAGAGCCUGCAGAGCAAAUGCAAUUAGCAUCCACAGUGUGCUGCAGUUUCCUUCCUUCAUUUCCCUGCCUUGGAAGAACUACUGUUCGGAUCAGCUGAAGUUUGGUCCCUGCUGCCUUAGAGUGGUGGAGAUGCUCCAGGGAUGGAAGGCAGUGUGUGCCCAAGCCUGUGUGAGCACCCUUUGCUUUGGGACCAGUCAGCACCUCCGAGGGCUCAGCUGGGACAGGAGCUGCUGGCACUGCAGCCCCAGGCAAUGGUGAUUUUGUUAGUGGGUGUGUGCUUCCCCUGGACUCAGCAGAGCUGACGCCAGGGUGGCUCUGUGGCACUGACCCUGCACUUCUCACAGGGGAGAAAUCUCUGUCCAUGCCCAGGGGUCUGGGCUGAGCAAAGCACCACAGGGUUUGGGCUGCCCUGGCAUUCACCAGGGCCAAUCAAUUGUUUAUUUGGAAUAUUGCAGGAUCGACAGUUGAUGCACUUUGAGCACUUUGAUACAGACUUGGCAGCAGAAAGAAAUGUGAAAAAACUGGUGGUAAUUAUUCAGAUUUGCCUGAAGGAGGUAAUUGAAAACAAAUUGCUACUAAGAGCCAUGGCCAUGGUUAAUUGUGGUGAAGCACUGUGGGCCACUCACCUGAAGGAAAAGACUGCUAGAGGACAAAUGUGGGUCAAAAUUGUUUCUGCCCUGGUGGAGAAAGAGGGUCUCAGUGAUAUAAUUUGGUUUGUAGGGUUAUUCUGUAGCUCUUAGAUUCUGACAUGAAAAUCCAAGCCUGCAGAGCAGUACUUUAAUGGCUGGAAAUAAUGCAGCCAGUGAUGGCAGGAGCAGCUGUGGCUCGCCUUGGUGGCAGGGGGAUGGCCAGGCUGUGUGGCAUCCCUUCUGCCACAGGCAGGUCCGGGCUGACCCCCACAGGAGAGGCACAGGCAGCUGUCACGUCCCCUCUCAGCAGGAUGGAGUCUGCAGUGUGCACAGAGCCACCACCCUACAGCCCGCUCCAACUGUGAGUUUUACCUUUCAUGUGGAACAUUGCUGCCAUGCACUGUUUUAUUUGUUGGCAAAUUUAAACAUUGCAAUGUCUGCUGUUCCUGGUGCUUCCUGGAUGCCGGGACUCGGGCAGAUGCUGAUGCCUGUGUGAACUGAUGUUUUGCACUGUGGGUCCUCCGGCACAGGGUCAGGGAAAGCCAGGACAUGGGGUGGCAUGGAUCUGCUGCCUGGAGGUGACAGGAGGGGAAUCUGCCCUUGCUGGGCACUGGCUUCCCAGGACAAAACCUCUUUGUCUCUCAGAGAAGCUCUUUCCAAAAUGCUAUUGCAAGGAUUCUGGAGAUGAAAACAAUGAUGAAAAGGAUGAUCCAAUUUUUUACUAAAUUUCACUUUUUCUAGAUAUUUUGACUCAGAGUUCCUGCAGGUUAAAAAAAAACAAAAACAAACUGCAGCUCCCUGUAUCUGGUGACAAAUUCCAUACCAGCCUCUUUUAGGACAGAUGCUUGCUCUAGGCUCUUCCAUCUUUGUUUUGUGCUCAGGAAACUAAGUAUAGGAGCACACUACAGCCUGUGCUGCUCUGUUUGCUCCCUGUGCCAAGGUACAAGUGGGGGAAAGACAGGAGAGCAUGAAAAACGGGAACCAAAGUUUCUUAAAGCAGUCUAAAUGCAAGGCAACCCUGCUGAGUUUGUGAUUUUACAUGAGGAUUGGCUGAAACAGCUCCGAAUGUUCGGCCACCCUAACUGGAGCCUCAGUUGCAGCAUUUCAAAAAGGAUAUUAAAGCAUACAUAUGUAGCACAAGUAUUAGAAUAUGAAAACCCCCAUUUAAUCUGAGAUAUGGGAAGGGCCAUCACCUGACUCUCUUUGGAAGAGAGAGAUCUAUCAUCCUUUGAAAGUUCAACAUACCCUUAUAUAGAAAAUCAAAACAUGCUGAUUUGACUUAUUAUUCUUAUUAUUAUUGACUGCUUUUGGGAAGUUUGGUAUUUUAGUAGUUUCAUUUCUUUUACAAAAAAAUACCCAAGUGCUGUCCAUGCAGAAAAGCCUGUCCUCAAACAGUGAGACUGGUGUGACAGUGUUAGGGACAUGCAGUCAUGUUCCCCUCUGUGGGAGUUUUGCCUGCAUGAGAGCUGCAGGCUGUCAGGCUUUCCCCAGUGGAAUGCUGCACAGGGUACAUGAGCAAUUGCUCUUGUUUUUAACAUGUGGGAUCAUGAUUUGCUCUUCCACUCCAUGUUGAGGUUGAAAAAUAGUAUCAAAAAUACAGGAGGUUGACUGAGAAAUCAGUGAGUAAACUACCUGUAUGCUCCACAUUUAGAUAUCACGAUUGAUAAGGGAUAUAGAAUAGUGGACUCUUUUUUCAAGCCAAAAGGUACUCCGUUGAUAUGAUAGAAUUUGAACACAUUUGUUUUAAGAAUACAGCUGUGUUUUGCAGUCAGGUGUGCACCUGUAUGCGCAGGCACACGUCACUGGAAUAACUGCAGUAAUCCAGCACUGCCCAGAGUUAGCUGCUGUAGGAAGCAGGAAAUAUGAAAUGUACUGUGAGUUCCACAGGGUCAAGCACAGUACCUUUACAAUAGCAUGGAAGUCUGAGUGGUGCUGGGUGAGAAGGUUUUCCCCUACAUAAAUGUGCAGGUGGAAAAUAUAAUUUCACAAUCCCCAUAUUUUCCUUUAUUUCCUUUUAUUUCUUUAAGCUGAAUGGCAAAAAAAGGGGGCGAAAAUGGGUUUCCUUUGGAAGGAAAUGUUCUUGGCAAGACAACAGCUCUAUGCAUGCUCUAGAGGUUGAUGCAUACGAGGAGCUGCUGAGCACGAGGUGCCCGUGGUGGGUGGAGGGGGUUGACAGAGGGCGGGUGGGGUCACCUGGGGCCAGGAUUUGGGACUCAGGGAGCUUCAGUGGUCAGGGUGGUGGGUUAUUGUCACGAACAGACACGACCUAAAACCCGCAGAUAGCCACCUGCCCAAGGCCAGCGCCAUGCCCUGGGUUUGUCCCUCGCCGCCGCUCCUCGGUGCGGGGCUGAGCAGCGGCUGCUGUGCCCUGCUGCGGCUCUGCCCGGAGGCACAGGGAGGGUGUCUGGGGCCAGCCAGUGCUCAGCACCCUGCUCGCUGCCGGGGAGGGCCCGGCUGGGUAGGGAUAGCCCCCGGGCUCCACGGGCUGUGCGCGGCUCCCGCAGCAGCCGCCCCAGGGAUGCGGCUCCAGCGCAUCCCGGGCUCUCCGCCUUGGAAUUCCUCUUGCAUGUGCAUAAUGUACAGUGUGGUGUAAGAGGGUUUCCAUGGGAGGAAACUGAGGAAGCCAGGAAAUUAUUUUCUAUGGUAAAUAUUUAUACUUAUAUUGUUUAGACUAGUACGAUCUUAAAAGAUGGAUGAUUUUUUUUUUUUACCCCAGAAAUUUGGUAUUACCUUUAGCACAUGAGAGCAGGAACUCACUGGAAAUCAUAAGAGAGAGGUCUUGGUUAAAGAAUCUGCAGCUAAGGAUCUCUUUCUUUAGAAACUUCCAAUCUUUCUACUGAUGGAUUCCAAAUAGCUACUCUGAAGCUCUGUGAGACUGAGUAUGAUUUCCAGAGGAUAUACCCAUACAAUGAUUUAAGCCUGAUAUUCACUAGACAAAAGCUUUUGUUGCAUUAAACAAAUCCCUGCAGUUCUCUGGGUUAACUUGCUGCUCAGUGAAAAGCUGGGGACACCAGAUUGCCAAGUGGGUGAAGAAAGGUAGAGGGAAUUGGUCUGAUGAGCUGAGGAGUCACAAUGCACUACUGAAACCCUUGCUGCACCCUCCCUGCCCUGCUCUGUUCUUCCAGGCAGGAUUCAAGCCUCUGAUACCUCAAUUUUCCUGCCCAAUUACAUGAAAUGAGAUCAGGAAAAAAGCUGUUUACUACAGCGUGUUCUAGUUUUUGGAUCCAAGCAGAUUGCUGUACAUUGGGUGUGAAACUCCCUAAUGUUUCAGAAAUUAUGCUGGAACGUCUCUGACUGACAGCUCUGAGCAAAGCACUUUCUGAGGUUAUGUAAAUGCCUAAAAAGAAAUCUAACCCCAAAUCUUAGUUGUGUAGCAGAUUUGAGGUCUGUGAAUUCUAGGCACUGCCAGAUUUUAAAGCCCUGCUGCUACCUUACAUAAAUACUCAUAAAUACUUACAGUAAGUGUCCUAAAAAGAUCUUUGGUUCCCCAAGUGAGCUAGAAGAAAGCAUUGCAGGGCUGCCCCAUCUUUACUGGUCACAAGCAACAAGUAAUUCUGCCCAGGGCUGCUUCAGCAAGACUCAGGAACCUGCCCCCCUUCACAUCCAGAUAGAACUGUACAUACCAGGGAUCACAUCGCAGGCCGAGGAAGGAAGUUAUUUUCAUUUAUGAUGCCCAGUAACAGGGCAAAGAGACCUUUCCUUCUGUGUCUGUGCUCUAGUAUGACGCAGAAACAAUUUUAAGACAUGUUUAUAAAUUCCACCCAGGUGUUGCAGCCCUUGCCAUGAAUCUCAAAAGUGUGUUCGAGAUUUAUUAGUAUUGGGCUGCUUCUGACACAAGGGAUGUGGGGGACAAAGAGCAGCAGCUACUGUGCUAUAAGGAAGCACCAAAAAACAUGUCAGUACACUUGUAAUUUUGUGCUUCCAAUUGUCGUUAUCCAAAUGCCAUUGUACUUGCAAUUAAUCUGUGUGCAUUAGGUACAGAACGCUAUCUCAUACCAAAAACAUGAAAGUAGCAUUAUAGUCUCUCUAAUGUUUUUUUGAGAACCCUUGUUAUCUCUUAUUGCCUUGUCCUUUGUGUGACUUAAGGCAGAAAACCAAGAAUUUACUGCAUUUUAAAAAGUUCAGAAAGAUGUGCUUAAGUUAAUAGAAGUCUUUAUUUUCAGGGUUUGAAUAGGUAUGUAAAAACAAGGUGAUUGAAUAAUUGCAAAGUUGAUGUGACAGAGCACACUAAAUAAUGGCUGUAAUUAAUUUUGUAGAAUUGUUCAUGAAUAAUUGGCAAAAUGUUUUCUGUAUGCGGCAACUUCUAGAACGAGCUGACUCAUUAUUGCAUUUAGGGAGUGGUACCUUGAGUUGUGAUCUGAUGCCUGUUAAAAAUUGCAAUUGAUUUUUUUUUUGAGAGAUUGAAUUGGGGUGCUAAAGGACAUUUUUCAAACAAAAUACCUGUUUCCUUAAGUCUGCACGUUUCAUUAUUUCUUUGCUGCUUAUCCCAGGCUAGGUAAGAAAUCAGCACUAAAUUACAGCAUUGCCCACUUCUCCUCUCCUGAAGGGAGCAGAGGACAGGGACAGAACACCUGAGAAAAGGGAAAAGAUAGAGGAAGAACUGGGCAGAAAGGAAUGACUGAAAAUAGCAGACAAAGGGAAGAAAUGGGGGAAAAGGCAGAAAGGAGAGAGAAGGAAGAAGGAGCCAAGGGGAUGAAGAGUCGGGGAGCGCGGGGCUCGUGUGCCCACGGCUGCCCUAAGGAGCUGCUGCUGGCCACAGGCCCUGUCUGCUCUCACCCACCUUCAGCUGGCCCGAGGUCUGCAAGGAGCAUGAGUAAGCACCCGUUCCCAGCUCAAUCUCAGCAGGUUUGCUGUUUACCAAACCGUGACAAAAGAUGAAGUUAUGUCCUAUCUGGCCACACACUGGGCUGUACGUCCUCUUUUUAUUUUGUUUCAUUUUUCUAAGAGGAGAAAUAGCUGAUAUUUCUUGCUACUGUCAAAAAGAAAAGUAAAUCAGUGAUUGUGAUUUAGAAGAGCUAAGUAUUUAAAAUAAAAUAUACAUUCAUAUAAAGUGAUUUUGUAUAAAGAUUCAGUGGUAACAAGAUGACCGAAAUCAAUGCAUCCUUAUCAAAGGCCAAAGAUUAUUUUGUAAGGUGUUUAUACACUGUCUCUGCUCUCAUUGUACCCUCUUACAGAUGGGGACAAUGAAAAUGUGUUCCAUGCAAUUACUUGCUGCUGCCUUAUAAAAAGUCAAAGCCCAAUAAACUUCAAUAUGGAGUAAACUAAUAGUGUCCUUGUGAAAGAGCAAAAUGAGGAGUUGUAUCCUACUACUGAUAGUAAAAGCAGACCUGUCAAUGAGAUUCAGCCUUCAUAAAAAGCUAGUUUAAGAUAAGAUUUGAAGGAAUUUGGCUUGGCAUUUCCAACCAGUUGAGAAUUAAUUCUAGACUUGGGUUGGCAAGAGUUAAGAGCAUAUCUUCUGUAAAGCUUUAUUUUGUGUUUUGGAGAGACCAGUACACUUGUCCUCUGCUAAUCAGAAACACUGCCUACCCUCACACAAAGAGUAGAGAUCUGAUAAAAGCUCUGAUCACAAUUUGUGCUUUGCUUUCCUCAUCACCAGUUCAAUUUUAAAAUCAUGUUUAAGAGGAAGCCCACGCGUUCCUCACUGAGCAGGAAUAACCCAUCGGGUCUGAGCAGGAAGAGUUAACAUCCUAGACACAGUGCUUUGUGUAUAAAUCAUAUAAAGAAUAUUCCAGGAAAGCCAUAAAGAGUGAUGAUGUGGUAAUUGUUUCUGGGAUGUUAAAAAUACUGUUGUGCUUCCAAGUUGCUGCGUGAGCCUGACUGCAGUGUCACUGCUCAGGGUGACUCUGGGGAUGGCAUUUUCACAGAUAUCAGCAAUGCAGAGUAGUCCCAAGCAGGUCUUGAAACUUUAACAUGUGAUGAGACCAGAAGAUAGUUUGGUGCAGUGAUAAUGAUUUAUUUAAUGCAACUAAUGCACGUAAAGAUGCAUCUGAGACAGUGUGGAGUCUGCCAAGAGCACUUUCUUGGACACCACAGUGAUCAAUCCAGGCUGGAGGUUGAAGGCUUGAGUACAGGUCUGUGGGAUCAAGCUACUAAUUUUUAGUGGGUUUGAGCUGUUCUUAAAUAAACUUUCAUUAGUUAGGGUGGCACCGCUAAGUCUACUUCCUACUGAGCAAUAGGAAGACAGAAAGAGCAUCUACAACAGUAAUAGUUUUACACAAAUUGAUUUAAUGUCUGGAAUAAUAGGAAGCUUACAGAGCUUGGAUGAGGGAUGAAGGAGGUAGACAGAAAGAGGUGGAAACAGAGGAAGAAAGCUCAGCUGGCUGCAGACAAAGGAGAAAUGUGUCUUCUCUCUUUUCUCCUGUCAGCUGAAGCACACCAUGUUCCACACAGGAGCAGGGAAUGCUUGUGGCACACCUAUGAAGCCAUUCUUGACUUUGUGACCUGUUCAGUGACAGGUGAACAGCCCCUGGCUGAAAUGGGUCUGCUGCCUUUUACACCCUUUCAAUGUCUUGCUCCACAACUGGGACCCACCACAGGGUCCUUCAGGCAGUGGUUUACUGAAUGGUCUGCUAAGGGGCUUAAUUACAAUCUCAAAUUCCCAAAGGUUUUUCUAGUCUGUCUAAAAUAUUUAUGUCUGCAACAAUUCAGACCUGUUUAUGUCUCUUUUUUUGCCUGCUGGGUAAAAAGUAGUUUGGCUUUUACAAUGUGUCUGUAUACAGGGUUUUAGUAGCUUGGAUUGCUUUUAUAUGUUUAUAAUGAAAGUAACAGCCCCUUAAAAAUUGGAUUAUUGAUCAUGGGAAGACAGUAGGUAUUUUGAAUCUUAGAGGCUAGACUACAAAUAAAUCAAAUUAUAUGAAGUAUUUUAUUUAAAGGCAUUUGAUUUUAUUAAAACUGCUGCAUCUGGUAUUUGCAUAAAUGGAAAAAUUCUGUCUGUUCACAUGAGGGUUCAGAGGAAAUCAUGGUAGGAGUUUGUUCUUCUCACUCAGUAAAGUGCACUGAUGUUAAUAAGUCAAAAUUAAACUCUUCCCAAAUUGCAAAAAAACACUGUAAGAUUAAAAAAUAUGGAUUUGGACAGAUGUCAAAUUCCUAUUUCAGCUGAUAAAUUAUCCACAGGGGUUGUGAUCUUUUUGCACAGAUGCACACGAGGCACUGAAAAUGUAGGAUACCAUCAUGUACACCCAUCCAUACAUACGAUGUGUAGUUCAGCAUGGGUGUGAGUGUGUGGGGGUGAUUUCUAAACCUCAAUACCUGCAUACAUAUUGCACUGCCAUGAGCCACCAAGGGCUGCUUUUGGCCCUGCAGUCUGUGCCACUUCUGUGGAUGCUCUGUCCCACCAGUACCUGCUUGGAAUGCUGCUCUUCCCACCCUAGUGAUGACGAACUGCAGCACAAACACCCUCCCUGUCCUUGUUAUGAGCAGGUGUCUGAAUUUGGGGGUUUGUUUGCAUGUUCCAGAUGUUUGCUCUGCCAGAUUUGACCACAGGAAUGUGAGGCCAGUGGGCUUAGCCUCAUGAAGCAGAGAAGCAUUUAGCCUGGAGUUUGCAUCGUCCACCAUUUCCAAGGGUGAGGCAGAAAACUGGUUUCUCCCUGGGAGAAGUCAACCAAAGAGGAACUGUGCCUCCAAGGAGGUGGGACUGUGUGAAUGCCAAUGGUCUUUGUCAUUAACCAGCUCUCUUCAAGCUGGCUGAGGAGGUGACAGGAUCUGUCGAUUCAAUCUCAUGCCUUCAAAAGACAGGAACAAAAUCACCACUGUAACAUUUUGGCAAAGCAAAAUGUUUUUGUUUGCUGGCAAGGGUUUAACUCACGUGCAGCCCUGCUGCCUCUUAGGAAUGUCAAAGAAAGAGGCUUUGCAAGUCAAAUGCUGCCUGCCUCACCAGCCUGUCUUACCCCAGUGAUGAAGUGCUCCAGCAUCAGAAGUCACCUUCUGUGUUCAGCUGAGCUCAACUGGAGUCGUGCUCUCUGGCUGUGCUGUUAAGUGGCUCUGAAGAUGUUACAGGUGCAGAGCUGUGCUGCUGUAUUUCAAGUGAUCACAAAAACUCGCUGGAUAAAUUGAAAAAGUGUGACUUUUCAUUGUAGCAAGCGUGGACUGGAUAAGCAACUCCAUCAUUGUGCUAAGGCAGCAGAUGCAGUCAGUGUUUGGGGGAAAUGGUUCAUGACCUGAUGAUGCUUUCCAAGAGAUUCAAUGAGGAAAAAAAAAUGCUGGAGGCUCCUCAUGUAACACUGGUGGGACAGGCAAGGGAAGCAGAAGGAUCAGACAGUGGGAGAGAAUGAAGAGAAAGGUGCAAUGCAAGCAGAAAACCCCUUUGCCAUGCUUCAUGCUUACUCUUGUGCUCAAAGAUGUGGGAGAAAAAGCAAUAGCUUCAGGAAAAGCCCUUUCCUGAAGACAAGCAGAGCAUGCCAGGAGGGUGCUGCAGCCAUUGUCUCUGCAGCCAAAGUGAGGAGCAAAGCCACAACCUGAUGGGGUUGGGCUGCAGGGGUCAGAUUCAAGAUCUGGAUCACCCUGAGAGCUGGGUCCGAUGGGUCCCCAGAACCCUGGAACCUCAGGCCCUCUCCCCACAUGGGGAUUCACUACCAGCUGGGAUAGGGUACUGUGGGAUGCUGGGAUGGACACUCACCACAGAAGCAUCCCAUCAAAGCUGUUCCUUAACUGAGCAAACGUGGACGGACUGUUACUGGAGUGCUUUGGUUGGUGAGCAGCUAGCCCUGGGAAUGUGUGGGCACUGGUGCCCGAGUGGAGCUGUGACCUGUGGAGGGCCAGGAUGCUGCCCAGGGACUCCACCCUGAGGAAGGGCACAGUGAGUCUUGGCAAAAGACACAGCUUAAAUAAACUCUCUGGUGGUUCAGGCUGGCCAAGUUAAACAUGUCCCUUGGCUUGGCUUUGUCACGACUUUGACAGAAGUUCCAGGUGUGGGUCAGAGCUGCCCUUGUACAGGGCACUUGCUGGGGCAGGAAGGGUGUGCAGACAUGGAGCCUGCCACUCUCAGGGCCUGGCCAUCAUGCUCCCUCUCGGGUGACUCACUGAGGAGCCCCUUGGGCAGCAGGUGGACACAGCCUCUGUUCCCUGCUGCGCUGCUCCAUACAGAGCACUGUGCACAGCAGGAAUGCUGGGGCCAUGGCUGCUCCCUGGGAGGAGGAGAGAGAGAUCAGAGAGGGGAAGAGUGUGGACCGGGAGAAGGUGAUAAACCAGCUCCUUGAGGCAGGGGCUGAGAUUGAUGUGCAGCUGUUGUGAGCUGCAUCACCAGACAGGACUUGUCCCAUCCAAGGGUAGGUCAUCUUUCCUUUGGCUCAAGAGGGUGUUGGGUGUGUUUGCUAGGCACUGGGUCUUUACGUGGUCAGCUGUGGUAUGUUCUGCUGCCCUGUGAUCUGCAAUUUCUGUUUUAUUAUUUGCAUGAACUCAGGCUCUUGCUGUCUCGGGGGAAUUUCACCUAAGCAAGCACUGGGAAAAUUUACCUUUAUUCAAAUCAUAAGCACACACACUUUUGACAUAAUUUUUUGCUGUAUUACUUUGUUUAGAUCCUUUUUAAAGAAGUUAAUAAAGCUGGCAGCACAACUCCAUUGACUCUCAGAGGAACACUUCUCUCAUUCCUGAGGUCCCUUUCAUUACCAGUUAUAUUUGCACCAUUCGUUAGCAUCCUGCUUUUCUCUUCAGUAUUACCACACAAUGUGCUUUCUUUUGUAGUACCUAAAGCUUGUGAGAUACCUUCUCCCCCACUGGGAGGCAAACCGAGUUAUCUGUAAUCUGUGUUUCGUGUCUUGGGUCUCUUGAAAGGACUAGAAAUCCCAGACGCAGUAACUUGUGGGUUUUCUGUCUCGGAGAAUUAGGAUGUCUUUGCAUUACUGAGCAGGCAAACAGUGAGCAGUGCUUGAUCAAUAAGAGGCAUUGCCAGAGGUCUGCUAUAGUCUGCCACAGCUGACGGUAAGUGUUGCUAUAGGCUAUGGAACUAGGAAUAUAAAAUGUCAAAUGACAGUAAUAAUUCAUGCAUCCUGGGACAUAUAAAACCAACAGCAUGUCAAUAGCUGUGGCAUGCUCUGCAGAAAAUAUGCAGGAUUUAGACAUUGCAGGAGUCUGUUUUAUUUUAAACCACACUUUCCUUGGUGAAAUAUAGACUUUCCCUGUUUGUUAAAAGCAUUUAUUUUCAGUUUCAUGUUGCUGCUUCUCUAUUAACAUUCUAAGAGCCACACAGCUCAAAGGGGGCCCUGAGAUUCAAAAAGCAAAAUAUAUGUAUUUACUGAAGAAAAACACAUAAAAUAUUUAUAAAACAGAGGGUGCAAUACUAUUUGAGAUUCAUGGACCAUUUCAGCAUUCAUAAAAGCAAAUAUGGUUCUCGUGUUGGCUUCACCUGGAAUCAGACUUUACUAGAGAGGUUACCCAGGAGGGACCUGCCUUAAAAUGAAACUUAUUACAAUCAUUAAUUUUACAUGGAAAAUCAUUACAUUUUACACGGAAAGCAGAAUGUCUUGUGAAAUAAGUAAGAACUUCUCCAAUAUUCAUCUUCUUUAAAAAUAAUUCAGGAUAAUUAGUAUUGCUUUUCUUUUACAAAAAGAUACGAAGAGGGUGAAUUACUGCAUCUGGGAGGGCACAGCAGGCAUAGGAGGAAAGAUUGUGUGUAUCUGAUACUUGUUUUCCCCUGUGCCCCUGCUUCUUGGGAACCUAAAAGAGAUGGGUGCUGUUUUACUGGCUAAGGCUCCCACAAAAAUUCUUCAGAUGAAUCUUUAAUGAGAGAAGGGUAAAAAUAUAUUUGAGCAGCCCCAUUCCUAUGCUUUCAGCUGUUUGCUCCUGAGCACCUCAGCUGUGGGUUGUCAGGACUCAAUUUCUGUAAAUCUGCUUGAAAGUAGAAGGGCAAGACAGAAAAGUUGCAUGUCCCUUAUGAUUGUAUGAAUGUGGGGCUUAAUGUGCAGGUACUGCUUCAAAAAGAAGGUAAAAUAUUAACUGAAAAAAGAGAGAAGGAAAAGCAUCACAAAGAAAUCCACUAAGCAUUAUUUAAAUCUCCCCCUGUGAGAGGCUGAGGAUUCAAGCACAUACGAGUCGUCUGCUCCUACAUGACAGCAACCCCUCUGCUUCAGAGUUGCACAGUCCUGGCUCUCAGUUGUCUACUUGAGAAUUUUUUUUAAAGUUAUAUAUUCAAAAAAAUGUCUUAAAUAUAAUUUCCAUUAUUUGAAGACCAUAAAUUGAUUUUGGUGCAGUGGACUGUACCUAUAUAGACAGGCACUAAUAGAUAUUUUGGCACAUGUUGGUGAAGCUAGCUUGAGAUGGAGAUGAUUAAAAUAAAUAAAAAGCAAAAUUAAUCCUGCUAACUGUCUGAGACCUAAGAAAAGGGACGUCUUUGUUCUGACGAGAACAUCUUGGCUCGUUCUGCUCCUUUGGCUUGGUUUGGGGAGGAUGUAUUUAACAGUCCUCCCAUGAUACUUGGCAAAUAUAAAGCUGUCACAUUGGAUCCUGCUUCUCUUUGUAUUAAAAGAAUGUCUAUGGUGUUUAUGUUAUGGGAAAAAAGCACUAUUUCUACUUAUUGUAUUUUCAUUGUCUCUUUUCUUAUGACUGUACUGUUUGCCAGCAGCCAAGGGGCCACUUUGAUGCUUGCUUUGAUGCCAUGGUUUAUUGUGUUGCACAGUUGAGCCUAUGGUUUUCCUUUCAAAUCCAAGCUGGCACACUGGGAGAAAAAAAAAAAAAAAAACAAACCAAAAAUAAAGCUUUUCUAUAAUUAUGGUUAUCUCAUAAAGUCUGCAUUUGUUACAGCUGCUGGGGUGUUGGAAAUCAGUGUUUGUAAAUACCUAUAUAUUCUGAUUUGUUUUCAGCCUCAGAGAUGUUUUUGUCUGUCUGUGUUCCUCACCCCUGGCCAUUCAUGCAAGCAGCCUUCCCUACCUGCACGCCGAGCUGCACUGCCUCGGGAAGAUACCAGCCUGUUACCCAGCUUAUCUGCAUGGUACAACUUCACCUUGUUCCCUCUUCUCACUCUGAGGGAUUAGCAUCCAAAGAAAACCAAAUUAGUCUUGUAUCAAUUCACCCAGGGAAGCGAGUAGCCAAAGCGACCAGAACGUUCCUGCUGCAGAGCUGCGUGCAGAAGGAGGCUGGCAGGGUGUGUUAUUGUGUGCUGCCCAGCCCCACCACGCUCUCUCAGAGGCCCACGGGGACACUGUGGGUCCUGCCGUGGGGAACCAGACUCUCCUGUGCCCACAGGAAGCCUCACUUGCUGGCUCCAUGCUCCGUGUGGCAGUGCCAGUUAGGAUGUGUAUAAUACCUGCUUGGAUGUGUCUGUUGCUUUUCUCCAUGUCUUGUGGUCAUCUGCAAACUGAGGAGGAACCAUUCUGUUUCCAUUUUGCUGAUGGAAAAAGGAGAGCCUUUGAGAGGCUGAGUGAUUUGUCCAGGAUUAUGCAGCAAAUCAAUGGGAGAAAAGGGGAUCAGGCCAUUCCACACAGGAGUGCCUUUAACUGUCCCGUGGGCUUUCUAGGGAAAGGCAUGCAGGUCCCCAAAGAGGCUGCUUCCAGCAGUGUUCUCCAUUAUUUCUGUCAGAUUAUUGCUGUGAACAGAGGAGAAAUGCAAAAUGUAUUAUUCAUUUCUCCUACUCCUAAAAUCAAUAGCUAUCAAAAUACAAAUACAAUUUAAAUCAAAAGGCACUUAUUGAGUGCAGAUCCUACUAAUUAGGUAUGAUUUCCCAACAAUUUCUUAAAUUAUUUAUCCAAAGGAUGGGUGGAAGGCACUUUAUAUGUCCCAGAGUGAAUAUUAUAAACCUCUUGUCAUGAUACAGAAAAUGUGAAAUGUAGUGCAAUGCUGUGUGAUUUGUAACCUUGAUGAGCUAAUGUAAUAUCAAUAGACAUCAAUCUGUGCAAAAAAAAAAAAAAUCUGUCUCAUCGUAACAUUCUAACAAGAUAUGUCAAAAGUCAAUAACCUUGUGAAAUGGACACGUAUCAGCAAAGGUUACAGACUUUGCUGCUAGGAAUCAAUUAAAAAUGUAAUACCCGCUUGCAGUGGAAAUUACUACACCAUCACCAAAAAGGAGGUUUACAUCAUGCAUGGACAUUUGUCAUAAGGGCAGCUCCCUUCAGGCUGGCUGUUGGCUCUGUAAGCAAUUCCACUGUAAUAGAUAUGUUUUGUUUUUGUUUUUUUUUUCUUAUGCUGGUAUUAGUUUAGCCCCAUAAUCAACAUGCAAAAAAUAUUUGUGCCAUAUACAGUUAAAUAUAUUUUUGAAACCCAUACAGAAAAGAGCCAAUGGUUUUGAAGAUUUUUGUGUAAAAAUUAGAAAGCAGCUCUCCUCCUAAAUGAAAGAUUUACAAUUGUCAGUCAAUAAUGUAGAUCAAUGUUCUUAAAUUUUUAAUCAUAGGGAUUUUUCUCCAUUUUUCUCCAGCUUCUUUGGAUCUUAAUUUUCAAACUUAUACUCCCAUCCAUACAGCAGAUCUUAAGGUCCCACCACACCAACCAUGUGUCAAGGGAAAUUCUUGGUCCCAUCAUAUAGAUGUGAUACCCACUCACCAAAUGCUUUCAAAUCGGUGAUUUAAAAGAAGAGUAUGAAAUAUUAUAUAUGUUUCUCCUCAAUUUUUGAAACUGAUUGAUAAAAUAUUCACUUUUUAGGCAUCUUACUUUGCCAAUGUCAUCUGAUAACAAUUUCAGGGCAAGUGUAACUUUGAGGCCAAAACUAAAUAUUUGAACAGGGAGGGCUAUGGCUUCAAAGGCAGCAGUAUGUGAGGGGCUGAAGUAAAACCAUCAGAUAAUUAAGAGCUUAAACUUUUAGCUUGGUGCUUUCUUCUGUAGCCUCAAUGGUGAUCAGCUCCCAGGAAAGCUAUCAGGAGCCUGAGCAAAAAGCUGUAGUGGUCCAAAGUGCCUGUGUGACUCAGCUGUCACGAUCGCUCGGCAGAACUUCAGUGCAGUUGUGCAACCCAGGAUUCAAGGCAGAGCCAUAAUUCAGAAUUUCAUGGCAUUUUAAAGCACAAGUCAGAAUUGUAAUGGUAUUUCAACCUUCCUUAUUAGUUGCACAAUAAGUGUCUUUCAGCCAGUGUUCUGCAAAUUCCUUCCUGGUGGUCCGCAAUAGACACGGCUUGAAAGAGCAUUGGAGGUGAAUGCUGGGUGUGUGGAAAUGGAUCUUGAAUUGAUGGGAGGAAUAAGGGAUUCUGAAAAACCACUGCAAUAAGGUGGCAUGGGAUAAUAAGAGUAGUAGCACAAAGUUUUAAAAAACAUGUCAUGAUUAAAUUGGAUAUGUAGGAUAAACUCAACUUUAGUUAUUCAGCUAUCCUGCUUGUAUUUUUGUUGGUUUUAAUUAAUGAAAGUUUGUCUGGCAGGUAUGAAAGCAAAGUUCAGUCUCAGAGUGUUUGAAUUAGAACUCCUAGCUGCAUCAAGUGAAAACAGGUAUGCAUUUAAUGGUUUGCAUUUUCUCAUUCCGUUUAAAUGUGAAUGAGUUAUCUGGAAGGAAUAUCCAACAUUGCAGAUACUGUUUAAUGAUAUAUUCUUAUCUUCUUUUCUUCUGUCUAAUGCCUUUCAUACAUGCUUAAAAAGUGUGUGAUUGUAUACAUGAUUAUAUGUUAGUGACUGCAAAGGUUACCUAAAUUGAGACCAUGGAGUAAUUUUAUUUUAAAUGCAGGGUAGAAGCACAUCUGUUUCAAACAGAUAUGUGAAAUGCCUUUUGUGAGUUCAAAUCACAUACCGUAAUGACCACUUAAAUGAGCUCCUACACACACAACAACUUAUUUGCAACAGUACUAACAAAUGCAUCUAUAAAAUGUCACUUGCAUUUUGGUGUUCUGAAAUAGGUUCAUCCUCUCCAUUGCCCUGGAAAAUUCAGCCCUCUGUUAUUGUGUAGAGGAUACGAAGGAAAAGCAUGUGCUCUUCCUCGUGGAGGAUGUGUUAUCUGCUGUAUAACUGUACUUGAUAGAUAUUUUGUAUUUUGCUUGGAUCUCCCUUUGAAAGAGGCAUAACAUUUUUUUGAGUUGUAACUAACACUGUUUUUUAGCCAUGAAUUGUUAUAAUUAUAUAAGAUUAUGAAUAUAAUUGAGGUAAUAAAACCAAAGCAAACAGUGUAGAUUA